rnacentral:rRNA from 1 species
AGUGAACGCUGGCGGUAGGCCUAACACAUGCAAGUCGAACGGCAGCACAGUAAGAGCUUGCUCUUACGGGUGGCGAGUGGCGGACGGGUGAGGAAUACAUCGGAAUCUACUUUUUCGUGGGGGAUAACGUAGGGAAACUUACGCUAAUACCGCAUACGACCUACGGGUGAAAGCAGGGGAUCUUCGGACCUUGCGCGAUUGAAUGAGCCGAUGUCGGAUUAGCUAGUUGGCGGGGUAAAGGCCCACCAAGGCGACGAUCCGUAGCUGGUCUGAGAGGAUGAUCAGCCAACCGGGAACUGAGACACGGUCCAAACUCCUACGGGGGGCAGCAGGGGGGAAUUUGGGCAAAUGGGCGCAAGCCUGAUCCAGCCAUACCGGGUGGGUGAAGAAGGCCUUCGGGUUGUAAAGCCUUUUUUUUGGGAAAAAAAAGCAGCAGGUUAAACCCCCGCUGUUCUGACGGUACCAAAAGAAUAAGCACCGGCUAACUUCGU